GCCUAACACAUGCAAGUCGAGCGGAUGACGGGAGCUUGCUCCUUGAUUCAGCGGCGGACGGGUGAGUAAUGCCUAGGAAUCUGCCUGGUAGUGGGGGGCAACGUUUCGAAAGGAACGCUAAUACCGCAUACGUCCUACGGGAGAAAGCAGGGGACCUUUGGGCCUUGCGCUAUCAGAUGAGCCUAGGUCGGAUUAGCUAGUUGGUGGGGUAAUGGCUCACCAAGGCGACGAUCCGUAACUGGUCUGAGAGGAUGAUCAGUCACACUGGAACUGAGACACGGUCCAGACUCCUACGGGAGGCAGCAGUGGGGAAUAUUGGACAAUGGGCGAAAGCCUGAUCCAGCCAUGCCGCGUGUGUGAAGAAGGUCUUCGGAUUGUAAAGCACUUUAAGCUGGGAGGAAGGGCAGUAAGUUAAUACCUUGCUGUUUUGACGUUACCGACAGAAUAAGCACCGGCUAACUCUGUGCCAGCAGCCGCGGUAAUACAGAGGGUGCAAGCGUUAAUCGGAAUUACUGGGCGUAAAGCGCGCGUAGGUGGUUUGUUAAGUUGGAUGUGAAAGCCCCGGGCUCAACCUGGGAACUGCAUCCAAAACUGGCAAGCUAGAGUACGGUAGAGGGUGGUGGAAUUUCCUGUGUAGCGGUGAAAUGCGUAGAUAUAGGAAGGAACACCAGUGGCGAAGGCGACCACCUGGACUGAUACUGAC
rnacentral:rRNA from 1 species